AUUGAACGCUGGCGGCAGGCUUAACACAUGCAAGUCGAGCGGGGUGAUGGUGCUUGCACUAUCACUUAGCGGCGGACGGGUGAGUAAUGCUUAGGAAUCUGCCUAUUAAUGGGGGACAACAUCUCGAAAGGGAUGCUAAUACCGCAUACGUCCUACGGGAGAAAGCAGGGGAUCACUUGUGACCCUGAGCUAAUAGAUGAGCCUAAGUCGGAUUAGCUAGUUGGUGGGGUAAAGGCCUACCAAGGCGACGAUCUGUAGCGGGUCUGAGAGGAUGAUCCGCCACACUGGGACUGAGACACGGCCCAGACUCCUACGGGAGGCAGCAGUGGGGAAUAUUGGACAAUGGGGGGAACCCUGAUCCAGCCAUGCCGCGUGUGUGAAGAAGGCCUUAUGGUUGUAAAGCACUUUAAGCGAGGAGGAGGCUCUUUUGGUUAAUACCCAAGAUGAGUGGACGUUACUCGCAGAAUAAGCACCGGCUAACUCUGUGCCAGCAGCCGCCGUAA
rnacentral:rRNA from 1 species